rnacentral:rRNA from 1 species
AGCAGCCGCAGUAAUUCCAGCUCCAAUAGCGUAUAUUAAAGUUGUCGCAGUUAAAAAGCUCGUAGUUGAAUUUCGGGAUUGACGUGAUGGUCGUGCCUUAAGGGGUAUGAACUGUCGCAGUUGAUUUCUCACCUUCUGGAGAAGCAUGAUGUCCUUAAUUGGGUGUCAUGUGGAACCAGGACCUUUACCUUGAAAAAAUUGAGUGUUUAAAGCAGGCAUUUUGCUCGAAUACAUUAGCAUGGAAUAAUAGAAUAGGACGGCAUGGUUCUAUUUUGUUGGUUUCUAGGAUCACCGUAAUGAUUAAUAGGGAUAGUUGGGGGCAUUAGUAUUCAAUUGUCAGAGGUGAAAUUCUUGGAUUUAUUGAAGACUAACUACUGCGAAAGCUAUUUGCCAAGGAUGUUUUCAUUAAUCAAGAACG